CAGCAUGAAAUGAAGGCCAUGAAGUGAUGGUAAACCAUUUCUUGUGUCUGCCAUAGCAAAUCAAGUGCUUUCCUGUCCAUCUCUCUGUGCAGCCUAGUCCCAGAGGUUUCCCUUAGAAAGAGAGACAGCUCAGUUAUUUUCCUUCCUCAUCCAGAGGGGUGCCAAACCCAUAUUUCCAAUACACAGGUAUGUGCCCCAGACCUUAAACACCCAGCUGUGUUGGGUAGAGAAAACCUCCACCAUCCCAUGCAACCUUCAGCCAAAAGCCCAAAGGAGGGGUGUGGUGGUUUUACCGUACUGGGCAGCUAAACCCCACAACCGCUCUCU
rnacentral:lncRNA from 1 species